UCGCCCGAUGGGGAUGGAGUCCCCCGACAACCGCCUCGCCCGGUCGUCCGGUUCCGAGGCUGACGACUCCUGCCGCGCC
rnacentral:ncRNA from 2 species